AGGAUGAACGCUGGCGGUCUGCUUAACACAUGCAAGUCGAACGGGCUCUUCGGAGCUAGUGGCGGACGGGUGAGUAACGCGUGAGAAUCUGCCUUCAGGAGGGGGAUAACGACUGGAAACGGUCGCUAAUACCCCAUAUGCCUCCGGGUGAAAAGUAAUUCGCCUGAAGAUGAGCUCGCGUCAGAUUAGCUAGUUGGUGGGGUAAGAGCCUACCAAGGCGACGAUCUGUAGCUGGUCUGAGAGGAUGAUCAGCCACACUGGGACUGAGACACGGCCCAGACUCCUACGGGAGGCAGCAGUGGGGAAUUUUCCGCAAUGGGCGCAAGCCUGACGGAGCAAGACCGCGUGGGGGAUGACGGCCUAAUGGUUGUAAACCCCUUUUCUCUGGGAAGAAGACUGACGGUACCAGAGGAAUCAGCCUCGGCGAACUCCGUGCCAGCAGCCGCGGUAAUACGGAGGAGGCAAGCGUUAUCCGGAAUUAUUGGGCGUAAAGCGUCCGUAGGUGGUUAUUCAAGUCUGCUGUCAAAGCGUGGGGCUUAACUCCAUAGAGGCAGUGGAAACUGAGUGACUAGAGUGCGGUAGGGGUCGAGGGAAUUCCCAGUGUAGCGGUGAAAUGCGUAGAUAUUGGGAAGAACACCAGUGGCGAAAGCGCUCGACUGGGCCUGCACUGACACUGAGGGACGAAAGCUAGGGGAGCGAAAGGGAUUAGAUACCCCUGUAGUCCUAGCCGUAAACGAUGGAUACUAGGUGUUGCUCGUCAUCGACCCGAGCAGUGCCGUAGCCAACGCGCUAAGUAUCCCGCCUGCGGAGUACGCUCGCAAGAGUGA
rnacentral:rRNA from 1 species